rnacentral:rRNA from 1 species
UACGUAGGUGACAAGCGUUGUCCGGAAUUACUGGGCGUAAAGAGCUCGUAGGUGGUUUGUCGCGUUGUUCGUGAAAACUCACAGCUCAACUGUGGGCGUGCGGGCGAUACGGGCAGACUAGAGUACUGCAGGGGAGACUGGAAUUCCUGGUGUAGCGGUGAAAUGCGCAGAUAUCAGGAGGAACACCGGUGGCGAAGGCGGGGUCUCUGGGGCCGUAACUGACGCUGAGGAGCGAAAGCAUGGGGAGCGAACAGG